rnacentral:misc_RNA from 1 species
UGUUUCACUGCAGUGCUGGUG